CAAAAGUAAAGGUCAGCAAGUCUUCCGGAGAAAUAAAGAAGGUCUCAAAGUUAGACGGCCACCCAAAUAGAUGAUCUACAUAACCCAGCUUGUAGAAAUUGACUUGACUCUGAGUAAGCGAAGCCUCGAACCCAGCCUUUUCACCCUUCAACUGCUCAUUUUCCUCUAGCAGACAAGCACGAACCCGCUGCAACUCCUCCAUUUCUUUCUUCAAAUUGUCGUUGAUCUUUAAAGCACCUUGGAGUUCCAACACUUGAGGCUCAAGCCUAUCAACAACCUUCUUGAAAUGGAUCACUUGGUUGUAAGCAAUGAUUAGUUCUUCCUUUACAUAAGCAGCAGACCGGAAUUUAGAGGUGGCACACUCAAGAUCUUAAAUCUGAGGUAUGUAACACUUGAUCUCUUUAUCUACACUUUCAUACUUUACUUAGAUCGCGUCAAGCACGAUAUCUUAGCAAGUGGUCUCAAGCUGCAGAGAAGUAGGGGAGAGAUAUUAGACCCCUUCAAAGCAGCAAGCUCAGAUUU
rnacentral:lncRNA from 1 species